rnacentral:lncRNA from 1 species
UUUCAUUUCAAACCUGAACGACGUCGUUUCAUUUGUGAUCCACAAUGACGACACAUUGACAUUAUUAUGUCACCUCGGCUUUAAUUUCAUCGAAAAGAGUCGUCGUGGAAAAAAUCACAAAAAAUCAAAAGAUAAUGCAUUUUUUUAAAAUUAAAAAACUUAUGAAAAAAAAAUCAAAAUUUAUAUAUUUUACGGCAGAUAUCCCUAGUUAAAAAAAAAAAAAUUACCCCCAUUAAGAUUUUGAAAAAGAAGGAGCCUCCAUCUCUAAUUUAUUCC